UACAGAGGUGGCAAGCGUUGUUCGGAAUUACUGGGCGUAAAGGGCGCGUAGGCGGUCUUGCAAGUCCUGUGUGAAAUCCCUCGGCUCAACUGAGGAACUGCACAGGAAACUGCUUGGCUUGAGUUCGGGAGAGGUAAGCGGAAUUCCUGGUGUAGCGGUGAAAUGCGUAGAUAUCAGGAGGAACACCUGUGGUGUAGACAGCUUACUGGACCAUUUCUGACGCUGAGACACGAAAGCGUGGGUAGCAAACAGG
rnacentral:rRNA from 1 species